AGCAGGCGCGCAAAUUACCCAAUCCUGACACAGGGAGGUAGUGACAAUAAAUAACGAUACAGGGCCCUUACGGGUCUUGUAAUUGGAAUGAGUACAAUGUAAACACCUUAACGAGGAACAAUUGGAGGGCAAGUCUGGUGCCAGCAGCCGCGGUAAUUCCAGCUCCAAUAGCGUAUAUUAAAGUUGUUGCAGUUAAAAAGCUCGUAGUUGAACUUUGGGCCUGGUCGGCCGGUCCGGAUUUUUCCGCGUACUGGUUUUCUUCCGACCGGGCCUCUCCUUCUGGCUAGCCCUGGGUCCCUGUGGCCCUUGGUGAACCAGGACUUUUACUUUGAAAAAAUUAGAGUGUUCAAAGCAGGCGUAUUGCUCGAAUAUAUUAGCAUGGAAUAAUAGAAUAGGACGUUUGGUUCUAUUUUGUUGGUUUCUAGGACCAUCGUAAUGAUUAAUAGGGACGGUCGGGGGCAUCAGUAUUCAGUUGUCAGAGGUGAAAUUCUUGGAUUUACUGAAGACUAACUACUGCGAAAGCAUUUGCCAAGGACGUUUUCAUUAAUCAAGAACGAAAGUUAGGGGAUCGAAGAUGAUCAGAUACCGUCGUAGUCUUAACCAUAAACUAUGCCGACUAGGGAUCGGGUGGUGUUUAUUUACUGACCCACUCGGCACCUUACGAG
rnacentral:rRNA from 1 species